rnacentral:rRNA from 1 species
UGGGGAAUUUUGGACAAUGGGCGAAAGCCUGAUCCAGCAAUGCCGCGUGUGUGAAGAAGGCCUUCGGGUUGUAAAGCACUUUUGUCCGGAAAGAAAUCCUUGGCUCUAAUACAGCCGGGGGAUGACGGUACCGGAAGAAUAAGCACCGGCUAACUACGUGCCAGCAGCCGCGGUAAUACGUAGGGUGCAAGCGUUAAUCGGAAUUACUGGGCGUAAAGCGUGCGCAGGCGGUUUGCUAAGACCGAUGUGAAAUCCCCGGGCUCAACCUGGGAACUGCAUUGGUGACUGGCAGGCUAGAGUAUGGCAGAGGGGGGUAGAAUUCCACGUGUAGCAGUGAAAUGCGUAGAGAUGUGGAGGAAUACCGAUGGCGAAGGCAGCCCCCUGGGCCAAAUACUGACGCUCAUGCACGAAAGCGUGGGGAGCAAACAGGAUUAGAUACCCUGGUAGUCCACGCCCUAAAACGAUGUCAACUAGUUGUUGGGGAUUCAUUUCCUUAGUAACGUAGCUAACGCGUGAAGUUGACCGCCUGGGGAGUACGGUCGCAAGAUUAAAACUCAAAGGAAUUGAC